rnacentral:rRNA from 1 species
GGCGGACGGGUUAGAUAACGCGUGGGAACGUACCCAGAUCUAAGGAAUAGCCACUGUGAAACGGCUGAGUAAUACCUUAUACGCCCUUCGGGGGAAAGAUUUAUCGGAUUUGGAUCGGCCCGCGUUAGAUUAGGUAGUUGGUGGGGUAAUGGCCUACCAAGCCUACGAUCUAUAGCUGGUUUUAGAGGAUGAUCAGCAACACUGGGACUGAGACACGGCCCAGACUCCUACGGGAGGCAGCAGUGGGGAAUCUUAGACAAUGGGCGCAAGCCUGAUCUAGCCAUGCCGCGUGAGUGAUGAAGGCCUUAGGGUCGUAAAGCUCUUUCGCCUGUGAUGAUAAUGACAGUAGCAGGUAAAGAAACCCCGGCUAACUCCGUGCCAGCAGCCGCGGUAAUACGGAGGGGGUUAGCGUUGUUCGGAAUUACUGGGCGUAAAGCGCAC